rnacentral:rRNA from 1 species
UACGAGGGGGCUAGCGUUGCUCGGAAUCACUGGGCGUAAAGGGUGCGUAGGCGGGUCUUUAAGUCAGGGGUGAAAUCCUGGAGCUCAACUCCAGAACUGCCUUUGAUACUGAAGAUCUUGAGUUCGGGAGAGGUGGGUGGAACUGCGAGUGUAGAGGUGAAAUUCGUAGAUAUUCGCAAGAACACCAGUGGCGAAGGCGGCUCACUGGCCCGAUACUGACGCUGAGGCACGAAAGCGUGGGGAGCAAACAGG